CAAAGUUGUUCUCAGUUCGGAUUGUAGUCUGCAACUCGACUAUAUGAAGCUGGAAUCGCUAGUAAUCGUAGAUCAGCAUGCUACGGUGAAUACGUUCCCGGGUCUUGUACACACCGCCCGUCACACCACGAGAGUUUGUAACACCCGAAGCCGGUGGAGUAACCAUUUGGAGCUAGCCGUCGAAGGUGGGACAAAUGAUUGGGGUGAAGUCGUAACAAGGUAGCCGUAUCGGAAGGUGCGGCUGGAUCACCUCCUUUCUAAGGA
rnacentral:rRNA from 1 species